CUGUUUCUUCACUGAUUUGCACAUCUUUUGGAGAGAAAUGUAUAAACUUUUCAAGUUCAGGUGUGUGUAAAUUUGCUUUCAUGACUCCACUUUCAUCGGCAAUCAAAACAGUUAACCUUGACCUAAAGGAAAUUUCAUAGGACAGGUAACAAUCCAAGUUGUGUCGGCUUCUAUAGACUUGAAGCAGUUGGAACAGGCAGUGUAUGAUAAGUUACGUUCUUGUUCAGGAAGACUCAGGGUGCCUUUCACCCAAGCAGUUUUCAUCUAUUUUAUAUGUGAUGUAAAUGUAGAUGAAACAAAUUACAUAUGAAACAUAAUUGUAAAAAUGAAUUUUUUUAAAGUCAAAAAAUAGCUUACAGUGUCGAAA